GCAGGAUGAGGGCGGCCAUUGCUGGGGCUCUGCUUCGGGGAGGAGGACGCUGAGGAGGCGCCGAGCCGCGCAGCGCUGCGGGGGAGGCGCCCGCGCCGACGCGGGGCCCAUGGCCAGGACCACCAGCCAGCUGUUCUACGGUCUGGGGACGAUGGUUUAAGAAUUUAUGCGUUGUAUGCGAUGUGCAGUGGGUGAUGGAAGAACGUCUACAUAGCUUGCAAAAUUUGAUUUAAAAGGCAAAUAUUUUAAAUGAAGGAAAACCCAAGAAGUUUACUUGAUUCCUUAUCUUCCAGGAUGCGACUUUUAUUUAUUUAUUUUGAUGGAGUCUCGCUCCCGUCGCGCAGGCUGGAGUGCAGUGACGUGAUCUCGACCCGGGAACCUCCACCUCCCGGGUUCAAGCGAUUCUCCUGCCACAGCCUCCCGAGUAGCUGGGAUUACAGGCGUGUGCCACCAUGCGUGGCUAAUUUUUGUAUUUUUAGUAGAGAAGGGGAAAGGUGUGGGCCCUCUUCUGAGAAAAAGGCAGAGUGACAUUGAAUUUUGUAACUACGUCAGGAGGCUCUUGAACUUUCUGCAGCUCACUCGUGGACUUUGUAGAGAUGCGUGGUAAUCUGAAGUGUUAAGGAAGAAAGUUGGGAAAAAUGUUGGAGGGUUGAAAGGGAUGCCUUUCGCUAUUUCGACAUGUGUGGCUGUACCCCAGAGUAGCCCGGGUAACAUAAAAAUAUGAAUUGUUUUUAUUGGCCAGGCUUGGCCAGGCUCAGUGGAGGCUGGGGCCGAGAGUCAUGGCGAAGUUUGUGAGGUUAAUCUGCACCCAGUGAUAGUCAUGGCGAAGUUUGUGAGGUUAAUCUGCACCCAGUGACAGUCAUGGCGAAGUUUGUGAGGUUAACUCGCACCCAGUAACGCUGUUGUAAUGCAAGGUGUGUAUUUGGUGUCAUCUACGGGAAGAAGAAAGAGCAAAUUUUCUCAUGGCCUUGGCAGUUCCACAUGAUGAACAUUUAAUAUCUGCAGUUUUCUUCGCAUAAGACGGCUUUUUUGCACAAAAACAUUGGAAUCCAGUGAGCAAGAAAGAUAGAAUACAAGAUAGAUUUCCACAUGAGGAUGUGUCACGAACGAGGCUUUUGCAUCUCUGUCAGCUGGAUUCCCCCAUGU
rnacentral:lncRNA from 1 species